AGAAGAACUACGUAUCCCAGAGGACCUCACGGUCAGAGAAGGAAGACACAUCACGGAAGAUACGUCAUCUGGUUGCGCGCGGUUCUUCUUCACUUUCGCUUGCUGCCGGGAGAGGAGUGGGUGUGCUUUCCAAGCCGGGCGCCUUCAUCAAGUAAGGCUUUCGGUUUCGGAAACUCUCUCACUCUCUCUCUCUCUCCCUCUCUAUCGCUCUUUCGCUCUCUCUCCCUCAUUCCAUUUGGUUUAUUAUACUUACUCCCGAUUAGAUUGUAUUGUAUCGUGUCAUCUUGCAUCUCAACAUCAUAGUUAGUAAAAUAAGUUCUCCUUCUUAGAUUGUUGCCACCGCUUCGUUUUUCUCGGGAAGUGAAGGGGGAGGGGGGCCCACAAGCCUACCGGCCCCCUGUCACGGGCACAGAUCUAUCUAGGUAACUCCGUGACAAUUUUGGUGGAGAAUGCGGGCAAGAUUCAUCUGAAGCUUUAACGUUAGUAAGAAAAAAAGGAUUUCGUUAGGCCAGACUGUGAGACUACAAAGCAUUGCUGGUGCUGGUGUGACCUUCAUAGAUUAGAUUAUAGCCUGGGCAGUCCGCCAAACUCCAGACACUGUACCGAGUGGUUCCCGUUUGUUUUUUUUUUCCCUCCUUCUCUUUAUUCCCCCUUACGUUAGCAGUUAUCAACUAUGAGGUUGCUCUGUAUUGUCAAAGCACUGUAUAAGGGAUUAAAAGCUAUCAUGUUCCUUGCCAGUUACCGGUCUAUAAUUAACCUCUUCAUGUCUUGCUGUGGAGUUGUAUUCAUAUACAACCAAGUGAGGGCCCUGAUAGAGGCACCUGCCUGGUGGCUUUAUGCAAUGUGGUAUAAUUUGAAUUUUGAGACCUUCGAACCGGUUUCUAGGCUUCCCUCCCAGUUUGUUGAACGUUUUUCGAACACCGAGUCAGUGCUCAUAUUUUCGUGCAUAUUAUCGAUAUCUUUGAAUAUAUUCCUCUUCAUUCGUGCUAAGUGGAAGGAGCCUCCUCCAAGACCAGAGAAUGAUGACUGGCAAGGAAUAUGGAAAGGUUUAAGAAGAAUCUUAGAACCGUGGGGACCCGCCGUGCCAUGGGAUUUCACCCCUGAACAUCUGUGGG
ensembl:lncRNA